rnacentral:rRNA from 1 species
CGGGUGAGUAACACGUGGAUAACCUACUUAUAAGACUGGGAUAACUUCGGGAAACCGGAGCUAAUACCGGAUAAUAUAUUGAACCGCAUGGUUCAAUAGUGAAAGACGGUUUUGCUGUCACUUAUAGAUGGAUCCGCGCUGCAUUAGCUAGUUGGUAAGGUAACGGCUUACCAAGGCAACGAUGCGUAGCCGACCUGAGAGGGUGAUCGGCCACACUGGAACUGAGACACGGUCCAGACUCCUACGGGAGGCAGCAGCU